rnacentral:rRNA from 1 species
GAUGAACGCUGGCGGCGUGCCUAAUACAUGCAAGUCGAGCGAACAGACGAGGAGCUUGCUCCUCUGACGUUAGCGGCGGACGGGUGAGUAACACGUGGAUAACCUACCUAUAAGACUGGGAUAACUUCGGGAAACCGGAGCUAAUACCGGAUAAUAUAUUGAACCGCAUGGUUCAAUAGUGAAAGACGGUUUUGCUGUCACUUAUAGAUGGAUCCGCGCCGCAUUAGCUAGUUGGUAAGGUAACGGCUUACCAAGUCAACGAUCAGUAGCCGACCUGAGAGGACGAAGAGCCACACUGGGAAUGAGACACGGACAAGACUCCGACGGGAGGCAGACGUGGGGAAGUUUGGACAAUGGGAGAAAGCCUGAUAAAGCAAUGCCACGUGUGUGAAGAAGGCCUUCGGAUUGUAAAGCACUUUUGUCAGGAAAGAAAGCCUUGGCCCUAAGACGGUCGGGGGAUGACGGGACCGGAAGAAUAAGCAACGGCUAACUACGUG